rnacentral:rRNA from 1 species
GAUGAACGCUGGCGGCGUGCCUAAUACAUGCCAGUCGAGCGAACGGACGAGAAGCUUGCUUCUCUGAUGUUAGCGGCGGACGGGUGAGUAACACGUGGAUAACCUACCUAUAAGACUGGGAUAACUUCGGGAAACCGGAGCUAAUACCGGAUGAUAUUUUGAACCGCAUGGUUCAAAAGUGAAAGACGGUCUUGCUGUCACUUAUAGAUGGAUCCGCGCUGCAUUAGCUAGUUGGUAAGGUAACGGCUUACCAAGGCAACGAUGCAUAGCCGACCUGAGAGGGUGAUCGGCCACACUGGAACUGAGACACGGUCCAGACUCCUACGGGAGGCAGCAGUAGGGAAUCUUCGGCAAUGGGCGAAAGCCUGACGGAGCAACGCCGCGUGAGUGAUGAAGGUCUUCGGAUCGUAAAACUCUGUUAUUAGGGAAGAACAUAUGUGUAAGUAACUGUGCACAUCUUGACGGUACCUAAUCAGAAAGCCACGGCUAACUACGUG